AGCUGUCAGUUCUUUGUAUUUUCACAACAAAGCUUUUUACCUCCAAAAUCCUGAUUACUCAGAAAUAUUUUUCGACAAAUAUUAGACCUACAACCACCAGAUUUUGAAAGAGAAGCCUUCAUUACUCAAUUUUAUCGUGCAACAUUGUCAACAAAGCUCUAAAAUAAGAUGAUGUUCCAGAGUGCCAUCAAUCAUUCAAUGAUUGGACGAGAUUCGACUGUUUUGGGAGAACCAAUGGGAAUUGUUUAUAGCAAACCUUCGAAACUAAUGUGGACAAUAAAUAUCCUUCUCAUCUCAAUGUUUGUCUUCUUAAUAGUGCUGUAUUUUUUGUGUGGGUAAGAACGUACAAUUGAAUAGACAGAUGUGUCAUCCGAAUCUCUAUACCUCACCAUAUUUGUAAAUUUAUAAAUGAAUAAUGUCCUAACGACAGAGUUCAGAUAACUAAUCAGAUAUACUCGUUCCAAACAAAUUAAUGUUAAUUCGUCAAAGUAAACGUAAACCGCCAAAGAAAAUUGUGUGCUCUUAUUUAUAAGUAAAUGUUUAGAUUUUUGUGAAUAAAUCGAUAUUACGACA